AUGAGCGGAAAACGGAAACUGAGUUUAAAGUGGUUUGGGAUUCUCCCUAACUUCUCCUUCCGUCGGAGCUCAUGGUCUGACAAAUCCGACUCCAAGUCCUCCUCCUCCGAGCCUGAUGGGGCUGGGGCUCUGGACGUGGUAUCCUCCCCCAUCGCUGUGGAGACGUUUGUUGACGACAUGGAUAUGAUGCAGCCAUGCACAUCCAGCUCCGCCCGCUCCAGCGACAACUACACCCACAUGGGCACCUUUCCCCGCUUCCUCCUCAGGAAGAGAGACAAGAGUGGGAAUUCUGGGAAAAGAGGGACCAAGAAGAUCAAGGAGAAGACAGGGGCAAGGCUGGGCAGGAGUCAGAGCCAGCGGCCGGCAGGCGACCAUGCGUGUAGGUCUCCCCUGCUCAUGGCACAAUCCAGCCGGCCUGGCUCCAGAAAGGACCAGCCUCUCUCACCUAUAUCCAGCCAGGCUGGUCCUGGUCCAACGCCCCAACGGAACCAAGGGCUGCCUCCCAUCCACAGAGGAUCACUCGAUAGGAAUGAACACGGAGACCCACAGGCCCACUGUGAGGAAGAAGAACCACACCAAGGGCAGCUUAUGUCAGCUCAGGAUGUGGGGUCUACUACCUCUAACGCCCCUCCGCUCACUUGUGAAGACGUCUCCAAAGAACACACAUUCACCACUGAUCAGGGUGCAUCUUCAGAUACAGCUUCAACUGGUGGUGCUAGAAGGAACCUUGCUACUGUUCCUGAGCCAUCUCCAACCCCCAAGCUUCUAAAGAAAACCUUGCAGCAGCCUGGGACCCUUGUCACCCAUCAGAUCGAGGAGAGCCUCCCCAUGAAGAGAGCCGAUAACCUGGGUACAAACAGUAACUCCAGCCCCCUGCCUGAGAGGGCCUCCAGUGGUUCUACUGAUAGAGACCUGGGAGAGGGCCUUCAGAGGGAAAGCCAGGCUGUUAAACCUGCAGACAGUCACAUGGACCAUACAGACAACAAGAGUGAAUAUGUCAAGACCUCUCAGGCGGAAGAAGACAGCCUGGCCCGGCCGGAACUGGACUGGGCUGGCCUGGACUCGACUAGACUAGACUGGCCCGGCCUGGACUGUGUAAGUUUUACACUGGGUGGAAGCACAGUGCUUUAUUCAAUCAAUACAUUAAUGGGAAUUAAAUCAGCAAUCUGCUUUUAG
rnacentral:lncRNA from 8 species